UAUAUUGCAGAACCAUGAGCUUCAUGGAAAGUAUUACAUCACAAGCACCCAGUAUGAUCUCAUGGAUUACAGUUGAAGCCUGAUGAAGCAGACACAUGAGACUGGCGUUCUCCAAACGAGAUCUGGAUCUAAAGAGGAGCAAAAUGGCUCUAUCCUGGUUAAGCCAGAGCAAGAAUCAAUACAUGGCAACAACAUAUAGCUACUACUAUGUGUAUUUAGUGUCAGUCAUGCCAGAGGUAGGAAGAUCUCAAGCCUACAAAAAGCACAUGCUCUAGAGGAAAGGUGGAGAGAAGCGAUGACAGUUGGGCAGGAGACCACCAGCACUGGUGAAGAUCAGUAGAAGGGUUAUAUUUUGGAGAUCCGGAAAAGGACUGGAAACUGAUUCAAGAGAUACAGAGUAAAAGCAAAGAGGUCUUCCAGGCAUAGGAUGAGGAAGAAAAAUGAGAAUAUAAAAAGGGAACAAGGGGGCUCAAGAGAGGACAAGAUGGAUGCAAAUACGAAGGCACACUGGACACUGGAUUGAUCUUUUCAUGAACCCAUCCAUCACAGUUCCAAGAUCUUUCCCCUGCUCAGUCAAGACAUAGUGCUGCUGACUCAUGGGAUUCUUGGAAGACGCCACUGAAUCAAGUCUGCCCCCAUGUGCCAGAUUCAACAGGGAACAGGACUCCGGGGGGUCCGGCAAUAGAACAGAACUAGAAGUUCAGCAAGUGCCAUCCAGGCCUCCGCCAGCCCAAGGACUGAUGGCAGUGGGAGGAAAAGGAGCUUUACCCAGCUAAAAUGCUCCCCAUUUUCCCUGUAAAACAACCACAAUUUGCCAGGCAGAACCUCCUGAGUCCACUUUCCACAGAAUGGAAUGAAGAUGGAAACAUUCUAGAUGGAAACCCAAGCUGGAGCUGCACAGUGCUUAGCUUUUUGGAGGGGCGGCGGGGAUAGGAAACGUUUCCUCCUGCAAACAUAUCAACAGGACUUUGGACUUAAGGUAAACAGUUAAAAAAUAAA